UGGGGAAUUUUGGACAAUGGGCGCAAGCCUGAUCCAGCCAUGCCGCGUGCAGGAAGAAGGCCUUCGGGUUGUAAACUGCUUUAGUCUAGGAAAAAGGGAUGCGAGGUUAAUACCCUCGUGUUUUGAUGGUACUGGAAGAAUAAGCACCGGCUAACUACGUGCCAGCAGCCGCGGUAAUACGUAGGGUGCGAGCGUUAAUCGGAAUUACUGGGCGUAAAGCGUGCGCAGGCGGUCUUGUAAGACAGUCGUGAAAGCCCCGGGCUUAACCUGGGAACUGCGAUUGUGACUGCAAGGCUAGAGUGUGUCAGAGGGGGGUGGAAUUCCACGUGUAGCAGUGAAAUGCGUAGAGAUGUGGAGGAACACCGAUGGCGAAGGCAGCCCCCUGGGAUAACACUGACGC
rnacentral:rRNA from 1 species